AUGAAUCUUCUAUGCUGGAACUGCAGGGGGAUUGGCAACGCCCCGACAGUUCAAGAGCUGCGCAAACUCACGAAUAAGUUUGCCCCUAGAGUGGUUUGUAUAGUUGAAACCCAAAUCAGUGGGGAGAGAGCUGAAAAUUUUAAAAGUUCUUUAGGUUAUGAUUGUUCUUUUGCUGUUGAUGCCUCCGGUAGGAGUGGAGGUUUGGCUAUUUUAUGGAAUAAUGAAAUAAAAGUCGAGAUUUUGGGUUACUCGAAGUACCACAUUGAUGGCAAGUUCUAG
rnacentral:rRNA from 1 species